rnacentral:lncRNA from 1 species
CACUAUCAGAAAACUUCGCCGCCCCUCCGAUGUAUUCCUCCAUUUUCCACGGCGAAUGAAGUAAUUUUGAGUGAGUAUUAGCAAAGAUAACCUAUAUCCAACCUCCAAUUCCUUCGUAAAACAGUCCAAAAUCUUAUGAUUCAGGUAUUUCUUUUGUGUUUUGAGUUAUCAGAAAAUUUUAGUUUAUUUGUAAUAUUAGAAGAUUGAUUUGAGUUAUUUUGGUGACUAAAAACUGAAACUUGCUAAUUCAGGUCUUCCAAAUUCAAACAUUUUUUAGUUUGGAAGUAAUUUUAGUCAUAAUUGUAGUCAUAAUUGCGUGGCUUUCAUUUGGUUAUCAUUUGCACCAUUCGUUUUGAAUGAACAUUUCGUAAAGGUUGGAUGAAAGUUGGUAACUUCACUGUGAUAGUAAUGGCAUAGUUAGUUUUUAGGCAAGAGCUCUAUUUAGGGAUGACAAUGGUGCGGGGUGGGGCAGUUGCGGGGCGGGUUAGGCAAAACUCACAAAACUUUCAACCCGCUCAGCCCCGCCCCACUUAAUUUUUUUUCUUUCUUCUUUAAUUUUUUUUUCUGACACAAACUAGUUUGAUAUUUUAUUAUUUUAUAAAAUGGAGAGUUAAUAGAAUGCAUAAACAUAAAAUUGAGAGAGUAUUAUGCUGAUUUUCCAAAAUAAAUGGGUUACUAUCAUUUACUAUUACUAAUACGAUAUCUUGAUUUAUGUAAUAUUAUUUUGGUGAGACUUAUGCAAAUUGGUUAAUUAUAAAUCAAAAUAGUAUUUGUGCUAGUGAAGCAGGAUGUGAAAUUGUAGUUGAAAUGAUUGCUUUGUUUCAAGAAAGAUAAAAUUCAAAGUUGCCUCGCAUUGAACCCGCAACCUGUCCUGUCCCGCUUUAUGAAUUUUAAAAAUUGUUUUAACCCGUCCCGCUCCAUUGCCAUCCCUAGCUCUAGAAAACCUUGUCUUUUAUCACAUAACUCAUUUCAUGGGUUAAGUUUAGUGUAAGAGUUGUAGAAUCAAGAACUUUCAAUCCACGUAAUGUGCGAGGCUGUGAGUAGCAAUCUUCUUGACAUGAAUUGCAUUAAGAUUGAGAAAUUGAAUUUUACUAUAUAUUAUUAGAACAAUGACAGCACAUUCCAUUGGCAACCAAAUUUCCAUUAUUGUUUUGAGAGUAUACAGAUGUUAGGUGAAAAAGGAGAAUGGGAAGGAAGAAAAGGAGUAUCAUGAUUGUGUGUGCCUAUGAAAUGCGGUGAGGCUAGUAGGGAAAACAUGUUGAAGCAAGUCUGUAGACGUUGGGGAUGUCUUAACAAAUAAAGAACAAUGGCAUGGAGUCUCAAUCUAUCAAAACAACAAUACCAACAUCGAUUAUUUUCUCCUUUUUUCAGCAGAUGUCUUCUCCAGAAUUUUGCAUUGAAGUCCUUCUGAGAUUUUCAUUAAUGAUGGACAAUUAAGAACUACAAUCUUCUUGAUCUUUGGCAUUCCAAUAUCAUCCACUAUCAAUUCUUGUAGAAACCUACAAUUUUCAAUUUCGAGCACUUCAAGUUGCGGAAAACUAUCUACUCCAGAGCAAUCCAGCUUGUUUACACUCUUGUAGGCAAAGUCUCUGAGUUUCAAGAUCUUCAAUUUGGGUAGUCUUUUUAGAGUAUUCAUUGGAUCUCCUGCCAUUGUAAAUGCGGAAAUAGUAAGUUUGAUGAUAUUUGGAGGAAAUGCUUCCGAGUUGGGUAGUUUUUCCAGUGGUAUGUGCUCAAUAUUCAGUUUGGUGAGAUAAUGAUAGCCAGAAAGAUUGAAUGUCUGUGCAUAAUAUAUACUGCUGAUUGCCCCUGCUUCAAUACUUGUAAACAUUGUUCCAUUGAAAUUUCCUGUCAAACAAAGCUUCUCGAGCUUCUGUAACACAUGAGCUGCAUCCAUCAAUGCCCUCAAUAUCUCUUCUGAGAUAUGCCUGAUCUUCAAGCUUCUUAAAUUGAUGAAUUUAGAGAACCAGCUUGGUUUUAACUGCUUGGAUUGUACAUUGUACAGUGUCUGGAGAUUUGCUGAAUCCACCUUAUCUGGAAGGGACAGAAUUUUGUGCUUAAAUCUGCGUGUGAGAG